AGAACGAACGCUGGCGGCAGGCUUAACACAUGCAAGUCGAGCGCCCCGCAAGGGGAGCGGCAGACGGGUGAGUAACGCGUGGGAACAUACCCUCCGGUUCGGAAUAGCUCAGGGAAACUUGGAUUAAUACCGGAUACGGCCUAGCGGCGAAAGAUUCAUCGCCGGAGGAUUGGCCCGCGUUCGAUUAGCUAGUUGGUGAGGUAACGGCUCACCAAGGCGACGAUCGAUAGCUGGUCUGAGAGGAUGAUCAGCCACAUUGGGACUGAGACACGGCCCAAACUCCUACGGGAGGCAGCAGUGGGGAAUAUUGGACAAUGGGCGCAAGCCUGAUCCAGCCAUGCCGCGUGAGUGAUGACGGCCCUAGGGUUGUAAAGCUCUUUCGCUAGGGACGAUAAUGACGGUACCUAGACAAGAAGCCCGGCUAACUCGUGCCAGCAGCCGC
rnacentral:rRNA from 1 species